UACGGAGGGAGCUAGCGUUGUUCGGAAUUACUGGGCGUAAAGCGCGCGUAGGCGGCUUUGUAAGUUAGAGGUGAAAGCCCGGGGCUCAACUCUGGAAUUGCCUUUGAGACUGCAUCGCUAGAAUUGUGGAGAGGUAAGUGGAAUUCCGAGUGUAGAGGUGAAAUUCGUAGAUAUUCGGAAGAACACCAGUGGCGAAGGCGACUUACUGGACACAUAUUGACGCUGAGGUGCGAAAGCGUGGGGAGCAAACAGG
rnacentral:rRNA from 1 species